rnacentral:rRNA from 1 species
UACGAAGGGGGCUAGCGUUGCUCGGAUUUACUGGGCGUAAAGGGCGCGUAGGCGGACAGUUAAGUCGGGGGUGAAAGCCCGGGGCUCAACCUCGGAAUUGCCUUCGAUACUGGCUGUCUUGAGUACGGGAGAGGUGUGUGGAACUCCGAGUGUAGAGGUGAAAUUCGUAGAUAUUCGGAAGAACACCAGUGGCGAAGGCGACACACUGGCCCGUUACUGACGCUGAGGCACGAAAGCGUGGGGAUCAAACAGG